GACGAACGCUGGCGGCGUGCUUAACACAUGCAAGUCGAACGGAAAGGCCCUGCUUUUGUGGGGUGCUCGAGUGGCGAACGGGUGAGUAACACGUGAGUAACCUGCCCUUGACUUUGGGAUAACUUCAGGCAACUGGGGCUACUACCGGCUAGGAGCUCCUGCUGCAUGGGGGGGGUUGGAAAGUUUCGGCGGGUGGGGAUGGACUCGGGGCUUAUCAGCUUGUUGGUGGGGUAGUGGCUUACCAAGGCUUUGACGGGUAGCCGGCAUGAGAGGGUGACCGGCCACAUUGGGACUGCGAGACGGCCCAGACUCCUACGGGAGGCAGCAGGGGGGAAUAUUGCACAAUGGGCGGAAGCCUGAUGCAGCAACGCCGCGUGCGGGAUGACGGCCAUCGGGUUGUAAACCGCUUUCGCCUGUGACGAAGCGUGAGUGACGGUAAUGGGUAAAGAAGCACCGGCUAACUACGUG
rnacentral:rRNA from 1 species